GAAUGAAAUGAGGAACAGAAGUUUUCCCUAUUGGUUUGAUUGCCGUAAUGAUGGCCGACCUUAUGUAUUAGCUCUAUCUGAUCAUUC